AGAAAGGGCACAAGGCGGAUGCCUUGGCUCCGGGAAGCGAAGAAGGACGCGGCCAGCUGCGAUAAGCCUCGGGAGGAGCAAACAUCCUUUGAUCCGGGGAUUUCCGAAUGGGGCAACCCGCACGGGUGUUGAGCCCGUGCACUGACAUCUGAAUACAUAGGGUGUCAGGGCGAACCCAGGGAACUGAAACAUCUCAGUACCUGGAGGAAGAGAAAUCAACCGAGAUUCCCUCAGUAGCGGCGAGCGAAGGGGGAUGAGCCCAAACCGUGGGGUGCGCCCGGCGGGGGUGGACCGCCAACGAAGUGGAAAAAGGGUUAGCUGAAGGCGGGGGAAGGCAGGCUAGGGGGUUAGACCCCGGGCAAAAACCCGGAAGCCCUCGAGACGGCACCCGAGAGGGGGGGACAGGGGAACCCCCCUCUGAAUUCCUCCCUCCAAGGCUAAAAUUACCCGGAGACCGAUAGUGAACCAGUACCGUGAGGGAAAGGUGAAAAGCCCCCGAACAGAGGGGAAAUAGUUCCUGAAACCUUGUGUCUCGCAGGGAAUUCGGGCACCGCGUCCCUUUUGCAUAAUGAGCCAACGAGUUGUCCGUGGCGGCCAGGUUCCCUCGGGGACCCGGGGAAAGCGAGUCUGAAUAGGGCAUUCAGUCGCCGGCGACAGCCCCGGGAAACCCGAGUGAUCUAUCCCUGUCCAGGUUGAACCCUGGGGCCCGGUGGAAGAACCAAUGUGCCUUUAAAAAAAGUGCUUGGAUGAGGUGGGAGGGGAGUAAAAGGCUAAUCAAACUCGGAGAUAGCUGGCCCCCCAAAACCUAUUUGGUAGGGCCUCGUGGUGGGCCGCCGGGGUAGAGCACGGGAUGGACUGGGGCCCCCACCAGGCCCCAAACCCAACCAAACUACGAAUGGGAAGCGUUCCGCGGGAGUAGACGGCGGGAGCUAACUUUCGCGUCGAAAGGAAAAAACCCCAGACCGUCAGCAAGGCCCCAAGCAGGCAAGGGGGAAAAGGAAGGGGGGAACCUAAAACAGGAGGUUACUUAGAAGCAGCUACCCAAAGAAAGGGAAAGCUCACGUCAAGGGGGCCCUGCACCGAAAAUAUAAGGGGUUUAAAGCCAUGCGCCGAAGCUGCGGAUCGUCCUUCGGAGAGGGGUGGGGCCCCGUGCGGAGGGUUUGGGGGGAACCAGGGGGAGCGCGGGAAGGAGGAUGUUGGCAUGAGUAAGGGAAAAUGGGGGCGAAAACCCGCACGCCGAAAGCCCAAGGGGUUUCCCGGGCCGGGUUAAUCCCCCCGGGGUUAGUCCCCCUAAAGGCGGGGCCAAAAGGGGUGUGAAGGAAAAGGGUUCAUAUUCCGGUAUUCGGUGACGGAUGGAGGGCGGGAAUAGGUCGGCCCGGGUGAUAUGCCCCGGUUUAAGGGGUAGCCGGAAGCUCGGCAAAUCCGGGCUUAACCGGGAGAGUGAGACGAGAGGUUUGUUUCAAAAAGCGAGAUUCCACACUGCCAAGAAAAGCUUCUGCAUAGUCAGGAAAACCCUUCCCCCAAACCGCCCGGGUGGACAGGUAGAGAAUCCCAAAGGGGUUUGAGAGAAAAACCAUGUUAAGGAACCCAAAAUUCUCCGCCUUUGGAAAAAGGGAGUGCCCAAAAGUGAAGGGGCUUCCCCCGGAGUUGGGGGUCCGUGACCAGGCCGGCCGACGUUUAGAAAAACAUAGCACUUGAAAACUCAAAAAGAGGGAAAAUAGGGUGUGACCCUGGGGGGGCCAAGGGUUUAAAAGGAGAGGUCAGCUUCGCGAAGCCUCGAAAAAAGCCCGGAAAGGGGGCCAAUAUAACGGUCCAAGGUAGCGAAAAUUUCCCUUUUCGGGGGAAGUUCCGGAAAAUUUUCGUAACGAUCCCGGGGGCUUCCAACGUGGUUCUCAGUGAAAUUGAAAUAGGGGUGAAGAUACCGUUAACCCCAGCAAGACGGAAAGACCCCCGAAUUUUCCCGCUUCAGUGGAUUCGGGGAAAAGCUUUGGAGGGUAGGUGGAGGCAAAGUCGGGGGGCCAGCGCCGGGGGAGCCUCCUUUAAAUACCACCCUGGUUUUUUGGAAUUUAACCCGUGAUCCGGGACAGGGGUCCUGGGGCGGGUUUUAUUCGGUCGCCUCCCAAAACGAAGGGGGCAAUUUCCCCCAGGGAUUGGGAAAAACUCAGAGUGCAAAGGCAUAAGGGGGCCGGCUGCGGGGAGACUCUCCGGGGGCGAAAGUCGGUCUUUUGUGAUCCGGGGGGUUCCGAGGGAAAGGGGCCCUCGCUCAACGGAUAAAAAGGGACCCGGGGGUAACAGGUAAACGCGCCCAAGAGUUCCAACGACGGGGCCGGGUUUGGCACCCCGAUGUCCUACGAUCCUGGGGCCCAAACACCAAGGGGGCUGUUCCCAUUUAAAGCGGUAGCGAGCUGGGUUCAGAACGUCGGAGACGUUCGGCCUUUUCCAAAAAGGGGCAGGGGAUUAAAGGGAACGCUCUGAAAGGGGGGACCGGAGUGGAAACUCUGGUGAUCCGGGGUUUCCCGGAGCACGCCAAAAAAUUUUUCGGCGGGAUAACCCCGAAAAACGCGGGAAACCUCCGAGAGCGAUCUCCCGGACUUAAUGUCCCUGAAGGUCACAGGAGACCACCGUUUGAUAGGCCGGGGUGGGAA
rnacentral:rRNA from 1 species